AGCACCGGCUAACUCCGUGCCAGCAGCCGCGGUUAUACGGAGGGUGCAAGCGUUGUCCGGAUUUAUUGGGUUUAAAGGGUGCGUAGGCGGCCGAUUAAGUCAGCGGUGAAAGUUUAGGGCUCAACCCUGAAAUUGCCAUUGAUACUGGUUGGCUUGAGUGUUGAUGGGGUACUUGGAAUUGAUGGUGUAGCGGUGAAAUGCAUAGAUACCAUCAGGAACACCGAUAGCGAAGGCAUGGUACUUAUCAACAACUGACGCUAAGGCACGAAAGCGUGGGUAGCGAACAGGAUUAGAUACCCUGGUAGUCCACGCCGUAAACGAUGAUUACUCGCUGUUAUGCCUAUUUGGUGUAUUGGCCAAGCGAAAGCGUUAAGUAAUCCACCUGGGGAGUACGCCCGCA
rnacentral:rRNA from 1 species